CGAGUCAUUGUAGCAAUACAAGGCAUACGGCUCAUCAACGCGUAGUCAACCUAACCUAUGGACGGGAAUAACCUCGGGAAACUGAGAAUAAUGCCCGAUAGAACAUUAUGCCUGGAAUGGUUUAUGUUCCAAAUGAUUUAUCGCCGUAGGAUGGGACUGCGGCCUAUCAGUUUGUUGGUGAGGUAAUGGCCCACCAAGACUAUUACAGGUACGGGCUCUGAGAGGAGAAGCCCGGAGAUGGGUACUGAGACACGGACCCAGGCCCUAUGGGGCGCAGCAGGCGAGAAAACUUUGCAAUGUGCGAAAGCACGACAAGGUUAGUCCGAGUGAUUUCUGCUAAAGAAAUCUUUUGCAAGUCGUAAAACCACUAGUGAAUAAGGGGUGGGCAAGUUCUGGUGUCAGCCGCCGCGGUAAAACCAGCACCUCAAGUGGUCAGGAGGAUUAUUGGGCCUAAAGCAUCCGUAGCCGGCUUUGUUAGUUUUCGGUUAAAUCCAUGCGCUCAACGUAUGGGCUGCCGAGAAUACUGCAUAGCUAGGGAGUGGGAGAGGUAGACGGUACUCGGUAGGAAGGGGUAAAAUCCUUUGAUCUAUCGAUGACCGCCUGUGGCGAAGGCGGUCUACCAGAACACGUUCGACGGUGAGGGAUGAAAGCUGGGGGGAGCAA
rnacentral:rRNA from 1 species